GACGAACCGAGCGAACGUUGUUCGGAAUCACUGGGCUUAAAGAGCGCGCAGGCGGUCGUUCAAGUCGCGUGUGAAAGCCCCCGGCUCAACUGGGGAGGGUCACGCGAUACUGAUCGACUCGAAGGCAGGAGAGGGUAGUGGAAUUUCCGGUGUAGCGGUGAAAUGCGUAGAUAUCGGAAGGAACAUCAGUGGCGAAAGCGGCUUCCUGGACCAGAACUGACGAUCAGGCUCGAAAGCGUGGGGAGCAAACAGG
rnacentral:rRNA from 1 species